rnacentral:sRNA from 1 species
ACCCAUGAGAUAGUUACUUCAACCAAAUUCAUCUUAUUGGAAAUGUUGAAUUUAUUUCUUUUAACUGUAGUAUCUUGGUGCACAAUUGAUUUAGAAGACAGUGUUUGCUGGUAGACUUGGAGGCUUAUCUGAGCCUUUGAAUUAAUUCAGGUGGACCCGAAUUAAAAUUAUAAGCCACAAUUAAAUUUGAAUAAUAGCGGUAGGGUUUAAAUGACCAAAUUUGCAUUUUAUCUUCUCAGAUUUUAUAUUAUACAUUGGGACCAUUGACAAAAUCAAUGAAAUUAUAAGCCAACGUGCUUCUUAAUUACUAAUGAGGAUCCCAUGUUAUGUGGGUUGUCACAACAAUGUGAAAGUGGGACACUGUUGUGUGACCACUUCAAAAAUUCUCUCGUAAAGGCACCUUAUGAUGGAUUUUGUUGGAAAUAUAAAAGCUUGUUUUGCUAAGCUACUUUGAAGUAAUUUUUUUUAUUGUGAACAUGUGUAGUGGGGUAAGUGUUACUUUCAAUUUAAGUACUUUUUCCAACUUUAACUAACAAAUAAAUAAAAUUUAAGACCAACUUAUUUACUAUUAGUGAACUUACAGUAAAUUAUCAAGCUUAGCCACCAUUCGGUGCUGAUCAGCCGUACUGAGAAUAGUGCUUUA